UACAGAGGGGGCAAGCGUUUGUUCGGAAUUACUGGGCGUAAAGGGCGCGUAGGCGGCCUUCUAAGUCGAACGUGAAAUCCCCGGGCUCAACCCGGGAACUGCGUCCGAUACUGGGAGGCUUGAAUCCGGGAGAGGGAUGUGGAAUUCCAGGUGUAGCGGUGAAAUGCGUAGAUAUCUGGAGGAACACCGGUGGCGAAGGCGGCAUCCUGGACCGGUAUUGACGCUGAGGCGCGAAAGCUAGGGGAGCAAACGGG
rnacentral:rRNA from 1 species